GCGGUUUGUCGCGUCUGCUGUGAAAACUGGAGGCUCAACCUCCAGCCUGCAGUGGGUACGGGCAGACUAGAGUGCGGUAGGGGAGAUUGGAAUUCCUGGUGUAGCGGUGGAAUGCGCAGAUAUCAGGAGGAACACCGAUGGCGAAGGCAGAUCUCUGGGCCGUAACUGACGCUGAGGAGCGAAAGCAUGGGGAGCGAACAGGAUUAGAUACCCUGGUAGUCCAUGCCGUAAACGUUGGGAACUAGAUGUAGGGACCAUUCCACGGUUUCUGUGUCGCAGCUAACGCAUUAAGUUCCCCGCCUGGGGAGUACGGCCGCAAGGCUAAAACUCAAAGGAAUUGACGGGGGCCCGCACAAGCGGCGGAGCAUGCGGAUUAAUUCGAUGCAACGCGAAGAACCUUACCAAGGCUUGACAUAUACCGGAAAAGUUCAGAAAUGUUCUCCCCGCAAGGUCGGUAUACAGGUGGUGCAUGGUUGUCGUCAGCUCGUGUCGUGAGAUGUUGGGUUAAGUCCCGCAACGAGCGCAACCCUCGUUCUAUGUUGCCAGCACGUAAUGGUGGGAACUCAUAGGAGACUGCCGGGGUCAACUCGGAGGAAGGUGGGGAUGACGUCAAAUCAUCAUGCCCCUUAUGUCUUGGGCUUCACGCAUGCUACAAUGGCCGAUACAAAGGGCUGCAAUACCGUAAGGUGGAGCGAAUCCCAAAAAGUCGGUCUCAGUUCGGAUUGAGGUCUGCAAAUUAACCUCAGGAAGUCGGAGUCGCUAGUAAUCGCA
rnacentral:rRNA from 1 species